GUCUACAACAAUUUGACCCGAAAGGUUGAAGAGAUGGUAGAUGUGAAGUUUGAUGAAUCUAACGGUUCACAAGUAGAGCAAUUGCCAAUUGAUGUAGGAGACAAAUAUCCCUCGGAAGCAAUCCAAGACUUGUCUAUUGGCAAGAUUCGUCCAACGGAGGUGAAGGAGAGUACCUCGUCCGUCCAAGUGGAAGCUUCCACCUCACGACAAGGUGAACCAAGAGUUGAUACGGAAGCAUCCACAAGUGGGACACACCAGGACAAAGAAAACGAGGAAGUACAGCAAGAUGAACAUCAACAACCUCCUUCUCCACCAUGA
rnacentral:rRNA from 1 species